UAGGGGGCUGAGCUCCCCGUGGCCCGGAGCCCUGUGUGUGCCCUGCCGAGCGGCGAGGACACACCGAGGGCCCUGGACGGAAUCGGGGGUGCUUGCGUGCGCGGGUGCGUGCGCCGCACUCCCGAGGGACGCGGUUUCAUCCUGUGCCCUGAGCCCUCAGCUGCAAGAAACCAAACUGCUCUGCGUGGAUUUAAGGACAAAAGGGCUUUUGCAGAAAGGGAUCGGGCAGCUCGUUGAAUCGGCGGGAAUGCCAGACAAGUGGACUUGAGAAUAGGCCCGGAAAAGGGAGCAGCAGCCAGGGCUACAGCCAAGCCCGCCCUGGGGCCAGGCGGCCCGAUAUCCUGGGCGCACUGCCUUUCUGGGCGCUGCCAGCGCUGCGGGGCGCAAAGGCCUCCCGGGGUGCACGCCCCUCCCCGCUCCUGGCCUCGCUCUGGCUCUGGCUCUGGCUCUGGCUCUGGCUCUGGGUCAGACCAGGGCGUUCACAUGCGACGGGCCGCCCCGCUCUCCCACUCUGAACCCACGGGGCGCGCACAGGGGAGCAACCCGGCCGGGGCAAUGGGACAAGCCCUCUGCCGCUGGGCUGAGAAGGACUGGCCGGCACGGCCUGGCCAACAGACAAUCUCUUCAGGAUUGCUGUAGAAGUGGAGAUCAGGCGUGACCUCCCACGGGUGUUCAGGGAGAUGGUGCCAUGCACGCGCAGCCCUUCCCGGGCCAGCACCCACAUCAGACCCACUGAGUGAGCCCCCUUGUUGCAUGGCAUGGCGAUGUCCACAUAGCGCAGAGGAGAAUCUGUUACACGGAGCAGUGGGCGGCACAUUGACGUAAGACACCCCCGUGAGGGGCUGGUGGUCAGCCCUGGGAUCCGUCACCACCGGAAGACGCGGCUCUCGGAGGGCUGCCUGGAUCCGGUCAGUGAAGGUCCCGGGAGUGAAGCAGCCCGCGAUAGGAGCAGCUCCAGUGGCAGCGGCAACUCCGGCACAGCCCGAUGGUGGUGUUCCUAGAGGCUAUGACGCUGGCACCAGCAGGGUUUUCAGUGGC
rnacentral:lncRNA from 1 species